rnacentral:rRNA from 1 species
AACGAACGCUGGCGGCAGGCCUAACACAUGCAAGUCGAACGCCCCGCAAGGGGAGUGGCAGACGGGUGAGUAACACGUGGGAACCUACCCUUUGGUUCGGAAUAGCCCAGGGAAACUUGGGGUAAUACCGGAUAAGCCCUUCGGGGGAAAGAUUUACCGCCGAAGGAUGGGCCCGCGUUGGAUUAGCUAGUUGGUGGGGUAACGGCCUACCAAGGCGACGAUCCGUAGCUGGUCUGAGAGGAUGAUCAGCCACACUGGGACUGAGACACGGCCCAGACUCCUACGGGAGGCAGCAGUGGGGAAUAUUGGACAAUGGGCGCAAGCCUGAUCCAGCCAUGCCGCGUGAGUGACGAAGGUCUUCGGAUUGUAAAGCUCUUUUGGCGGGGACGAUAAUGACGGUACCCGCAGAAUAAGCCCCGGCUAACUUCGUGCCAGCAGCCGCAGUAA